UCGCCAUAGCGUGCAUUUGUACCUACAUCAUCUCUAAGUCAUGAAGUUUUCAACUCUUUCCAUGGUGGUGAUGGCGUUGCUCGCGAUGUAUGUCGGCGCUGAUCACGUCAACCCUUCGCCUAAUUGGCAAAAAAUCAAAAUCAUAAGCAAAUUGACAAAGCUGAACAGCAUACAAAGUGGACACCAACAUCAAGAAUAGAGAUUAAGAAACUCUAACAAUGUUAACUUCUCAUUUAUAUUCAAAAAUCGAAUGUAAUUAACUACUUAAGUAAUAAUAAUGUGACUUAGGUACCUAGAUUUUAUUUAAGUAAAUAAAGCUGUUGAAAGUU